rnacentral:rRNA from 1 species
UACAGAGGGUGCGAGCGUUGUCCGGAAUCACUGGGCGUAAAGGGCGCGUAGGCGGUCUGGUAAGCGUGUGGUGAAAGCUCGGGGCUCAACCCCGAGUCGGCCGUGCGAACUGCGAGACUGGAGCAGAUCAGAGGCAGGCGGAAUUCCGGGUGUAGCGGUGGAAUGCGCAGAUAUCAGGAGGAACACCUAUUGCGAAGGCAGCUCGCUGGGACGUAACUGACGCUGAGACGCGAAAGCGUGGGGAGCAAACAGG